rnacentral:lncRNA from 1 species
GUCCUAUGAUUAAGUAUAGUCUGGCCCAGGAGUGUGAAGGUGAACGGAAAGGCUGGAGCAACGAACCGCCCUUGCUGUCUCUGCCUUGCCGGUUCCCCUCUUUCCACUGGGAUUCUCUGCCUCUAACCCUUUUACAGGGCCUGAGUCACUGGCCUACUGGUGUUCUUCCAUGCCGUCCAUGGGAGGGGUGUGUCACUUGAGUGGGACCUGAGCCCUAGGACCAUGCCUCAGGACUACCUGGUAUGAUGACUCCUUGCUGUCCCCAGGUUCCAUAGCCGCAGGCAGAACAGUUGAAACUGGAGCAGCAGCACGGCCAGGUGGACUGGGGACAGCAAGGAGUCAUCAUACCAGGUAGUCCUGAGGCAUGGUCCUAGGGCUCAGGUCCUCCGAGAGAAAGACAGAAAGAGAGAAAGAGAGAAUUAGAGAGAGCAUAUUUAAAUACACACAGGACAUCGGAUAAGACAAGAGAAAUACUCCAGAUGUAACAGACUGACCCUAGCCCCCCGACACAUAAACUACUGCAGCAUAAAUACUGGAGGCUGAGACAGGAGGGAUCAGAAGACACUGUGGCC